rnacentral:piRNA from 1 species
UUGCAUAAAUACCUCAUCGGGCAG